GACGAACGCUGGCGGCGUGCCUAAUACAUGCAAGUUGAGCGCUGAAGGUUGGUACUUGUACCGACUGGAUGAGCAGCGAACGGGUGAGUAACGCGUGGGGAAUCUGCCUUUGAGCGGGGGACAACAUUUGGAAACGAAUGCUAAUACCGCAUAAAAACUUUAAACACAAGUUUUAAGUUUGAAAGAUGCAAUUGCAUCACUCAAAGAUGAUCCCGCGUUGUAUUAGCUAGUUGGUGAGGUAAAGGCUCACCAAGGCGAUGAUACAUAGCCGACCUGAGAGGGUGAUCGGCCACAUUGGGACUGAGACACGGCCCAAACUCCUACGGGAGGCAGCAGUAGGGAACCUUCGGCAAUGGACGAAAGUCUGACCGAGCAACGCCGCGUGAGUGAAGAAGGUUUUCGGAUCGUAAAACUCUGUUGGUAGAGAAGAACGUUGGUGAGAGUGGAAAGCUCAUCAAGUGACGGUAACUACCCAGAAAGGGACGGCUAACUACGUG
rnacentral:rRNA from 1 species